UAGGGAAUCUUCCACAAUGGACGAAAGUCUGAUGGAGCAACGCCGCGUGAGUGGAGAAGGUUUUCGGAUCGUAAGGCUCUGUUGUUGGUGAAGAAGGAUAGAGGCAGUAACUGGUCUUUAUUUGACGGUAAUCAACCAGAAAGUCACGGCUAACUACGUGCUAG
rnacentral:rRNA from 1 species